AUUUCAAGCAGUUGUGUGAGUAUAAAUCCCCAAUUACGAAUCACAGCUGCAAAGGUGUAGGCAGAUGGAAGAGAUCCACUGGUCACAAAGAGAGGACCUUGGGGAGGGUAUUGAGAGGGAGAAGACAGGCAGGAGAGGAGCUGCCACCCCAAACACAGGGACUCCGGUCCCUUGAUGGCAUGGCAGCAGCACAGGGAUGUGCAAAACAUCCUUUGUUUGCCUGCUGAGGCCCAAACUGACAGAAUUCAUCGUUCAGAUUGAAUUCUCCUCAUUCCAGAGCUUGUUGGACACCAAUGCAUGCACAAGGCCCACACUCCCCAUCUUUGCCCUCAGGAGCAUUUGUUUUGCUCAUGCACAUCAUGAACUGCAUCCAUUUAGCUCAGCUCAAAGCACAGGGAUCCAAACCACUGCCCUUCUUCAGGAGAGAUCAAAACCACUGCCCUUCUCCUGUACAGGGAUCCAAACCACUGCCCUUCUCUAGGAGAGAUCCAAACCAUUGCCCUUCUGCAGGAGAGAUCCAAACCAUUGCCCUUCUGCAGGAGAGAUCCAAACCAUUGCCCUUCUGCAGGAGAGAUCAAAACCACUGCCCUUCUCCUGUACAGAGAUCCCAACCAUUGCCCUUCUGCAGCACAGGGAUCCAAACCACUGCCCUUCUCCAGUACAGGGAUCCAAACCAUUGCCCUUCUGCAGGAGAGAUCAAAACCACUGCCCUUCUCCUGUACAGAGAUCCCAACCAUUGCCCUUCUGCAGCACAGGGAUCCAAACCAUUGCCCUUCUCCAGCACAGGGAUCCAAACCACUGCCCUCCUUCAAACACCCCAGCACAGCAAACAGCCAAGACUUUAAACUCAGUUUCUUGUCUCUGAGUUUCACACUUAUUAACGAAGCAGGCAAUUAGAGACAGACAGUGUUUUUACUCUGUCCUUGCCUCGUGCUGAGGGUGGGGAUGUUGCAGAGAUGGGCAGAGCCUGACAGACCCCUGCACACACUGCUUUAGUCUGCAAGCUCGGUGCUGCCAGCCUGUGCCACCACCAACCCAUUGCCUUACCCUCAUGUUCUACCCCCAGACAAGUGAGAUGAAACGUAUCCAUUCUCCUGGUAAGACCAGGACACUUCUAUUUUCAGAUACUAUUUGUUCAUGCAUUUGCAUUCCAACUGCCUUCACACUAAAUCAUAACACUUGCUAAAUAUGGGACAUCAUCUGGGAAUGUUUUUGUGAUAGUUUACACGUCCAUAAAGCAAGUUCUGGUAAAACACAAUGCAAGCACACAAUCAAGAUCUCUAUGACUGCAGAGUGAUUUGGUUACUCUGAGGGAAAGAAAACAAUCCUC
rnacentral:lncRNA from 1 species